rnacentral:piRNA from 1 species
UGAUGUCUGAGGACAUAGUCAUCUGC